UACGUAGGGUGCGAGCGUUGUCCGGAAUUAUUGGGCGUAAAGGGCGCGUAGGCGGCCACCGCAAGUCGACUGUGAAAUCUCCGGGCUUAACUCGGAAAGGUCAGCCGAUACUGCGGGGCUAGAGUGCAGAAGGGGCAACUGGAAUUCUCGGUGUAGCGGUGAAAUGCGUAGAUAUCGAGAGGAACACCUGCGGCGAAGGCGGGUUGCUGGGCUGACACUGACGCUGAGGCGCGAAAGCUAGGGGAGCGAACGGG
rnacentral:rRNA from 1 species